AUAAUGUGAAGAAAAUAUGUUGAACCAGUUAACAUUUUUAUUAGUUAUCAGCUUAAAUACAUGAGUUCUUAACUGUGGUAACAGUACUGUGAAAACAUAAACUGUUAUGAGGAAUCAAGUUAAAUAUGUGUUCAUAAAUAUGGUAAUUAAUGAUCACCACAAUUAUGCACACAAGUUUUUAAUUUUGUUUCAGUGAAGUUUUCCAUGUUAUCGAAAAGAAAUUCCAAAGUGUCGUACUUAAUUACCAUAUUUAUAAACACAGUUAACACAGUUAAGUACUUAUAUAUUAAGUUGUAAGUGUGUUGAAAGGACAGUCACUAGUUUUCAUCCCUGCUCUAUUUUCCUGUGUUUUCUGUUGGUGGCAAAAAAAGACUUUUAAUGGAUGUUAAGUAACAAGUACACAAAUGCUCGUUGACAUUACAUUUCAGCCUGUUUCACUGCUGCCAGCUGCAGUGCUUUUGUUCAAUACUGGACCAGUUAAAAAAAAAAGAAAGAAAUUUUACCAUUAGUAAACAUGGGAAAAACAUGGGAACAUAGGGUCAAGGUUAAAAAACACCAGUUACUCUUUAAAUCUUUAUAAUAUAAAUUCUUGUGAAUGCAUAUUACCAUGAUGAUAUUUAGGAAACUUCAUGUUUGUAGUUGUCCGCUUACUGUUUUCCUUUGCAGGUAAAAGUAAAAGCUUUGACUCAUGCUGAAGAGGAGAGAAGAGGAGAAUGCUGCUCAACAGGAAAUUAAAAGUCUCUCUGACAGGCCAGUCUGCAUAAGAAGAAGAACCGUUUCCUGACGUCACAGUCCGGGACCUGCUCAAAAAGGGAGGUGUCUACCACAGACCUGACUGCUGACCACACUGACUCUGUGCUCCUCUGCAGGAGUGUGGUGGAGGACCUCAGCGGAGCCAUCGGGACACUCGGACAGCAGAAGAUAGCCGCCGUGGUGGCGUGCAAAGACUUCCGUAAUCAUCCAGCUGCAGUGGGAGCACAGGAUGAAGCAGAUGCAGACAGAGGACUUCACCGGCAAGGCGAGGGACACCCAGAUGUUACAAAUCACUGAGGAUCAACAGGAUUAUCUCAACAAGACAGAUCGAGACAGCAGCAAGUCCAAACAAGUUUCCAUUCUGGAGAAAACUAUAGCUUUCCAGGAACAGGUAACAGAAAGCAGCGUUCAUACAUGUCCUUGAAAAAGGCUUAAAAUGCAUGGAAUUCAUUAGUCUAAAAAUAGGGCCUUGAUUGAUAUGAAAAUGUCUUAGGUCCAUUUUUCAGUAGUCUUCAGUAUACUUUGACAUGGAGAGAAGAAUUU